rnacentral:rRNA from 2 species
GUGCUAUAAUGCAGUCGACGAACUCUGGUAUUGAUUGGUGCUUGCAUCAUGAUUUACAUUUGAGUGAGUGGCGAACUGGUGAGUAACACGUGGGAAACCUGCCCAGAAGCGGGGGAUAACACCUGGAAACAGAUGCUAAUACCGCAUAACAACUUGGACCGCAUGGUCCGAGUUUGAAAGAUGGCUUCGGCUAUCACUUUUGGAUGGUCCCGCGGCGUAUUAGCUAGAUGGUGGGGUAACGGCUCACCAUGGCAAUGAUACGUAGCCGACCUGAGAGGGUAAUCGGCCACAUUGGGACUGAGACACGGCCCAAACUCCUACGGGAGGCAGCAGUAGGGAAUCUUCCACAAUGGACGAAAGUCUGAUGGAGCAACGCCGCGUGAGUGAAGAAGGGUUUCGGCUCGUAAAACUCUGUUGUUAAAGAAGAACAUAUCUGAGAGUAACUGUUCAGGUAUUGACGGUAUUUAACCAGAAAGCCACGGCUAACUACGUGCCAGCAGCCGCGGUAAUACGUAGGUGGCAAGCGUUGUCCGGAUUUAUUGGGCGUAAAGCGAGCGCAGGCGGUUUUUUAAGUCUGAUGUGAAAGCCUUCGGCUCAACCGAAGAAGUGCAUCGGAAACUGGGAAACUUGAGUGCAGAAGAGGACAGUGGAACUCCAUGUGUAGCGGUGAAAUGCGUAGAUAUAUGGAAGAACACCAGUGGCGAAGGCGGCUGUCUGGUCUGUAACUGACGCUGAGGCUCGAAAGUAUGGGUAGCAAACAGGAUUAGAUACCCUGGUAGUCCAUACCGUAAACGAUGAAUGCUAAGUGUUGGAGGGUUUCCGCCCUUCAGUGCUGCAGCUAACGCAUUAAGCAUUCCG